rnacentral:rRNA from 1 species
AUUGAACGCUGGCGGCAGGCCUAACACAUGCAAGUCGAGCGGUAGAGAGGAGCUUGCUUCUCUUGAGAGCGGCGGACGGGUGAGUAAUGCCUAGGAAUCUGCCUGGUAGUGGGGGAUAACGUUCGGAAACGGACGCUAAUACCGCAUACGUCCUACGGGAGAAAGUGGGGGAUCUUCGGACCUCACGCUAUCAGAUGAGCUUAGGUCGGAUUAGCUAGUUGGUGAGGUAAAGGCUCACCAAGGCGACGAUCCGUAACUGAUCUGAGAGGAUGAUCAGUCACACUGGAACUGAGACACGGGCCAGACUCGUACGGGAGGCAGCAGUGGGGAAUAUUGGACAAUGGGCGCAAGCCUGAUCCAGCCAUGCCGCGUGUGUGAAGAAGGUCUUCGGAUUGUAAAGCACUUUAAGUUGGGAGGAAGGUCAGUAUCUUAAUACGUUGCUGAUUUGACGUUACCGACAGAAUAAGCACCGGCUAACUCUGUGCCAGCCGCCGCCGUAAAAC